rnacentral:rRNA from 1 species
AAUCAACGCUGGCGGCGUGCCUCAGACAUGCAAGUCGAACGCGAAAGUCCCCUUCGGGGGACAAGUAGAGUGGCGCACGGGUGAGUAACACGUAGGUAAUCUACCUUUGGAUGGGGAAUAACAACCGGAAACGGUUGCUAAUACCGCAUAAUGCAGCGGCACCUAAUGGUGACAGUUGUUAAAGCGGGGGACUGAAAGACCUCGCGUCUGAAGAGGAGCCUGCGGCGGAUUAGCUGUUGGUAAGGUAACGGCUUACCAAGGCGACGAUCCGUAGCCGGCCUGAGAGGGCGGUCGGCCACACUGACACUGACAUACGGGUCAGACUCCUACGGGAGGCAGCAGUCGGGAAUUUUGGGCAAUGGGCGAAAGCCUGACCCAGCAACGCCGCGUGAAGGAUGAAAUCCCUCGGGAUGUAAACUUCGCAAGAACGGGAAGAAUAAGUAGGGGACAAUACCCCCUAUGAUGACGGUACCGUUUGUAAGCUCCGGCUAACUCCGUGCCAGCCGCCGCCGUAAC